UGAAAUCUCGGGGCUCAACCCCGAAACUGCGUCUGAAACUGGAGGUCUAGAAUCUUGGAGGGGGAAGGGGAAUUUCUCAUGUAGGGGUAAAAUCCGUAGAUAUGAGAAGGAACACCAGAGGCGAAGGCGCCUUCCUGGACAAGUAUUGACGCUGAGGCGCGAAAGCGUGGGGAUCAAACAGGAUUAGAUACCCUGGUAGUCCACGCUGUAAACGAUGAAUACUAGGUAUUGGAGGAUUUGACCCCUACAGUGCCGUAGCUAACGCGUUAAG
rnacentral:rRNA from 1 species